ACGCACGCUGGCGGCGUGCUUAACACAUGCAAGUCGAACGGAAAGGCCCUGCUUUUGUGGGGUGCUCGAGUGGCGAACGGGUGAGUAACACGUGAGUAACCUGCCCUUGACUUUGGGAUAACUUCAGGAAACUGGGACUAAUACCGGAUAGGAGCUCCUGCUGCAUGGUGGGGGUUGGAAAGUUUCGGCGGUUGGGGAUGGACUCGCGGCUUAUCAGCUUGUUGGUGGGGUAGUGGCUUACCAAGGCUUUGACGGGUAGCCGGCCUGAGAGGGUGACCGGCCACAUUGGGACUGAGAUACGGCCCAGACUCCUACGGGAGGCAGCAGUGGGGAAUAUUGCACAAUGGGCGGAAGCCUGAUGCAGCAACGCCGCGUGCGGGAUGACGGCCUUCGGGUUGUAAACCGCUUUCGCCUGUGACGAAGCGUGAGUGGCGGUAAUGGGUAAAGAAGCACCGGCUAACUACGUG
rnacentral:rRNA from 1 species